rnacentral:rRNA from 1 species
UACGAAGGGGGCUAGCGUUGUUCGGAAUCACUGGGCGUAAAGCGCACGUUAGGCGGAUCUUUAAGUCAGGGGUGAAAUCCCGAGGCUCAACCUUCGGAAACUGCCUUUGAUACUGGGGAUCUCGAGUCCGGGAGAGGUGAGUGGAACUGCGAGUGUAGAGGUGAAAAUUCGUAGAUAUUCGCAAGAACACCAGUGGCGAAGGCGGCUCACUGGCCCGAUACUGACGCUGAGGCACGAAAGCGUGGGGAGCAAACAGGG